GGUUAAGUGACUAAGCGUACAUGGUGGAUGCCUUGGCAGUCAGAGGCGAUGAAGGACGUACUAACCUGCGAUAAGCUGUGAGAAGUCGGUAAGAGACGCUAUUACUCACAGAUUUCCGAAUGGGGAAACCCACCCAAGAUAACUUGGGUAUCGUUACAUGAAUACAUAGUGUAACGAGGCGAACCGGGAGAACUGAAACAUCUAAGUACCCCGAGGAAAAGAAAUCAACCGAGAUUCCCUCAGUAGCGGCGAGCGAACGGGGAUUAGCCCUUAAGCAUCUUGGAAGUUAGUGGAACGGUCCUGGAAAGGCCGGCGAUACAGGGUGAUAGCCCCGUACACGAAAACAACCUUGAUGUGAAAUCGAGUAGGGCGGGACACGUGACAUCCUGUCUGAAUAUGGGGGGACCAUCCUCCAAGGCUAAAUACUCCUGACUGACCGAUAGUGAACCAGUACCGUGAGGGAAAGGCGAAAAGAACCCCUGUGAGGGGAGUGAAAUAGAACCUGAAACCGUGUACGUACAAGCAGUGGGAGCCCUUCGGGGUGACUGCGUACCUUUUGUAUAAUGGGUCAGCGACUUACAUUUUGUAGCGAGGUUAACCGUAUAGGGGAGCCGUAGGGAAACCGAGUCUUAACUGGGCGUCUAGUUGCAAGGUGUAGACCCGAAACCGGGUGAUCUAGCCAUGGGCAGGUUGAAGGUUGAGUAACAUCAACUGGAGGACCGAACCCACUAACGUUGCAAAGUUAGGGGAUGACCUGUGGCUGGGGGUGAAAGGCCAAUCAAACUCGGAGAUAGCUGGUUCUCCCCGAAAGCUAUUUAGGUAGCGCCUCGGACGAAUACUACUGGGGGUAGAGCACUGUUUGGGCUAGGGGGUCAUCCCGACUUACCAACCCCAUGCAAACUCCGAAUACCAGUAAGUAAUAUCCGGGAGACACACGGCGGGUGCUAACGUCCGUCGUGAAGAGGGAAACAACCCAGACCGCCGGCUAAGGUCCCAAAGUUCUGGUUAAGUGGGAAACGAUGUGGGAAGGCUCAGACAGCUAGGAUGUUGGCUUAGAAGCAGCCAUCAUUUAAAGAAAGCGUAAUAGCUCACUAGUCGAGUCGGCCUGCGCGGAAGAUGUAACGGGGCUCAAACCAGGCACCGAAGCCGCGGAUUCACACUUAUGUGUGAGUGGUAGGGGAGCGUUCUGUAAGUCUGCGAAGGUGUAUCGAGAGGUAUGCUGGAGAUAUCAGAAGUGCGAAUGCUGACGUAAGUAACGAUAAAGGGGGUGAAAAGCCUCCUCGCCGGAAGACCAAGGGUUCCUGUCCAACGUUAAUCGGGGCAGGGUGAGUCGACCCCUAAGGCGAGGCCGAAAGGCGUAGUCGAUGGGAAGCAGGUUAAUAUUCCUGCACGACUUGUAAUUGCGAUGGGGGGACGGAGAAGGCUAGGUGGGCCAGGCGACGGUUGUCCUGGUGAAAGUGCGUAGGUGGUGUUUGUAGGCAAAUCCGCAGACACAACGCUGAGACACGAGACGAACACACUACGGUGUGGAAGCCAUUGAUGCCCUGCUUCCAGGAAAAGCCUCUAAGCUUCAGAUUACAAGUCAUCGUACCCCAAACCGACACAGGUGGUCGGGUAGAGAAUACCAAGGCGCUUGAGAGAACUCGGGUGAAGGAACUAGGCAAAAUAGAACCGUAACUUCGGGAGAAGGUUCGCUCUUGAUGGUGAAGUCCCUUGCGGAUGGAGCUGUCGGGAGUCGCAGUGACCAGAUGGCUGGGACUGUUUAUCAAAAACACAGCACUCUGCAAACACGAAAGUGGACGUAUAGGGUGUGACACCUGCCCGGUGCCGGAAGGUUAAUUGAUGGGGUUAGCGCAAGCGAAGCUCUUGAUCGAAGCCCCGGUAAACGGCGGCCGUAACUAUAACGGUCCUAAGGUAGCGAAAUUCCUUGUCGGGUAAGUUCCGACCUGCACGAAUGGUGUAACCAUGGCCAUGCUGUCUCCACCCGAGACUCAGUGAAAUCGAAUUCGCCGUGAAGAUGCGGUGUACCCGCGGCUAGACGGAAAGACCCCGUGAACCUUUACUACAGCUUGGCACUGAACAUUGAACCUACAUGUGUAGGAUAGGUGGGAGGCUUUGAAGGCGUGACGCCAGUUGCGCUGGAGCCGUCCUUGAAAUACCACCCUUGUAUGUUUGAUGUUCUAACGCAGGGCCCUGAAUCGGGCUCGCGGACAGUGCCUGGUGGGUAGUUUGACUGGGGCGGUCUCCUCCCAAAGAGUAACGGAGGAGCACGAAGGUUGGCUAAUCCUGGUCGGACAUCAGGAGGUUAGUGCAAUGGCAUAAGCCAGCUUAACUGCGAGACGGACAGGUCGAGCAGGUACGAAAGUAGGUCAUAGUGAUCCGGUGGUUCUGAAUGGAAGGGCCAUCGCUCAACGGAUAAAAGGUACUCCGGGGAUAACAGGCUGAUACCGCCCAAGAGUUCAUAUCGACGGCGGUGUUUGGCACCUCGAUGUCGGCUCAUCACAUCCUGGGGCUGAAGUCGGUCCCAAGGGUAUGGCUGUUCGCCAUUUAAAGUGGUACGCGAGCUGGGUUCAGAACGUCGUGAGACAGUUCGGUCCCUAUCUGCCGUGGGCGUUGGAUGAUUGAAGGGAGUUGCUCCUAGUACGAGAGGACCGGAGUGAACGAACCUCUGGUGUUCGGGUUGUCACGCCAGUGGCACUGCCCGGUAGCUAAGUUCGGAAUCGAUAACCGCUGAAAGCAUCUAAGCGGGAAGCGAGCCCUGAGAUGAGUCAUCCCUGACCCCUUGAGGGUCCUAAAGGGCCGUUGGAGACCACAACGUUGAUAGGUGGGGUGUGUAAGCGCGGCGACGUGUUGAGCUAACCCAUACUAAUUACCCGUGAGGCUUAACCAU
rnacentral:rRNA from 1 species